rnacentral:rRNA from 1 species
GAGGAGGCAGCAGUGGGGAAUAUUGCGCAAUGGACGAMHVKUCUGACGCAGCAACGCCGCGUGAGGGAUGACGGCCUUCGGGUUGUAAACCUCUUUCAGCAGGGACGAAGCGAAAGUGACGGUACCUGCAGAAGAAGGACCGGCCAACUACGUGCCAGCAGCCGCGGUAAUACGUAGGGUCCGAGCGUUGUCCGGAAUUAUUGGGCGUAAAGGGCUCGUAGGCGGUUCGUCACGUCGGGAGUGAAAACUCGGAGCUUACUCCGAGCCUGCUUCCGAUACGGGCAGACUAAGGUAGGCAGGGGAGAGCGGAACUCCUGGUGUAGCGGUGGAAUGCGCAGAUAUCAGGAAGAACACCGGUGGCGAAGGCGGCUCUCUGGGCCUUACCUGACGCUGAGGAGCGAAAGCGUGGGUAGCGAACAGGAUUAGAUACCCUGGUAGUCCACGCCGUAAACGUUGGGCGCUAGGUGUGGGGGACAUUCCACGUCCUCCGUGCCGCAGCUAACGCAUUAAGCGCCCCGCCUGGGGGAGUACGGCCGCAAGGCUAAAACUCDAAAGGGAAAUUGACGGGGGGCCCGCACAAGCGGCGGAGCAUGCGGAUUAAUUUCGAUGCAACGCGAAGAACCUUACCUGGGGUUUGACAUAUAGGGAAAUCCUCCAGAGAUGGGGGGUCCGUAAGGGUCCUAUACAGGUGGUGCAUGGCUGUCGUCAGCUCGUGUCGUGAGAUGUUGGGUUAAGUCCCGCAACGAGCGCAACCCUCGUCCUAUGUUGCCAGCACGUUAUGGUGGGGACUCAUAGGAGACUGCCGGGGUCAACUCGGAGGAAGGUGGGGAUGACGUCAAGUCAUCAUGCCCCUUAUGUCCAGGGCUUCACGCAUGCUACAAUGGCCGGUACAAAGGGCUGCGAAACCGUAAGGUGGAGCGAAUCCCAAAAAGCCGGUCUCAGUUCGGAUUGGGGUCUGCAACU